rnacentral:rRNA from 1 species
GACGAACGCUGGCGGCGUGCCUAAUACAUGCAAGUCGAACGCAGUGGGGACGGGUGAGUAACACGUGGGUAACCUCCCAUCAGAGGGGAUAACACUUGGAAACAGGUGCUAAACCGAUACUGAUGGAUGGACCCGCGGUGCAUUAGGUAGUUUGUGAGGGAACGGCUCACCAAGGCCACGAUGCAUAGGCGACCUGAGAGGGGGAGUGGCCACACUGGCACUGAGACACGGCCCAGACUCUUACGUGAGGCAGCAGGAGGGAAUCUUCGUCAAUGGGCGAAAGUCUGACCGAGCAACGCCGCGUGAGGUAAGAAGGUUUUCGGAUCGUAAAUCUCUGUAGUUAGAGAAGCGGUAUCUAACCAGAAAGCCACGGCUAACUACGUGCCAGACGCCGCGGUAAUAC